GGCUACAUCAUGUUGAGACACCGGUUCGCGUACGAUCACCGAAGAUAAGCAACGUUGUUUUUGAUCAGUACUUAGAUGGGUGGCCGCUUGGAAAUGCCA